UAGAUUUGUCUGCACGCGACAUAUUAUCCCUAAAACACUGCUUUUAAAAACAAGAUAAAGGAUCACACAAAACAUAUUUUAAUUCUAAUUUCAUAAUUUAAUUCUACGUCUUUUAACGUAAUAACAAACUGUCGAGGAGGGGAUUUUCAUGUAUUUGUUUUUGUUUCUCAGGCCAUCACAUUUUUCCCAUUUAUAUGUUCAUUAACCGGCUCGUUAAAGCUUUUGUCUGGCAAUAACACGCAACUGGUGUUUCGACCAACCACCACAGCGUAUUUUGAAUUCGCUUAGCGUUUUACACGUUAUGGCUUGUAGGUGUUUGGUGAAAGGAUCAUUGUAGCUUCUUUUUUGUGGCAGAAAGAAAACCGAGCGUUCACUAUCAGUUCAACGCCUACGAGACAGCAGUAUCUAACCUUGGCGAGCAACUGAAUUGAUUUACUACGUCAUUGACGUCACCGUAAAUAGUAUAAAGGUAAUAUAAUAAAUUAGUUUUUUUUUUGUGGUCCCUAAGGAUAUGAAAAUAAAUUCUAACUUAGAAAACGACAUUUAAACACGCCUGGAGCAUACAUCGAUCCUCUGCUUUGUUGUGGAAGGGGACGACUUACAAAGGAGUAGUAAAUUUUCCUGAGGCGCCGAGCAUUUUGUUAUAAAAAGCUAUAAAACGCA